rnacentral:misc_RNA from 1 species
UCCGGUUUGUCACCGGCAGUCCCAUUAGAGUGCUCAACUGAAUGUAGCAACUAAUGGCAAGGGUUGCGCUCGUUGCGGGACUUAACCCAACACCUCACGGCACGAGCUGACGACAGCCAUGCAGCACCUGUGCACCACGCCUUGCGGCCACCGCCUUUCGACGGCUGUAAGGUACAUGUCAAGCCCUGGUAAGGUUCUUCGCGUUGCAUCGAAUUAAACCACACGCUCCGCUGCUUGUGCGGGCCCCCGUCAAUUCCUUUGAGUUUCAACCUUGCGGUCGUACUUCCCAGGUGGGAUACUUAAUGCUUUCGCUCAGACACACACUGUGUAUCGCGUAUGUCGAGUAUCCAUCGUUUAGGGCGUGGACUAC